UACGUAGGUGGCAAGCGUUGUCCGGAUUUACUGGGCGUAAAGAGCGCGCAGGCGGUCUGAUAAGUCGAAUGUGAAAGCCCCCGGCUCAACUGGGGAGGGUCAUUCGAUACUGUUCGACUCGAAGGCAGGAGAGGGAAGCGGAAUUCCCGGUGUAGUGGUGAAAUGCGUAGAUAUCGGGAGGAACACCAGUGGCGAAGGCGGCUUCCUGGCCUGUUCUUGACGCUGAGGCGCGAAAGCUAGGGGAGCAAACGGG
rnacentral:rRNA from 1 species